ACUACACCUGCACAAAACAAUCAAUGCAAGCUAAAUCAAAACAUAAUAGGAGUCCUACAAGUACAUUUUGGGCAUCCCUCGCCAAAGUUGUACCCAAUAUGCGCCACCAAUGACUACAUCUUACUCAGCGGGGGUGAAGAAUUAGCAUAAAUUAAUUGACACACUUUUCAGAUUGUGACAUGAGAUCCUUAUGUACCCAAGACUGAAAACAACCAGAAAAAACUUUCAAGAAGCAACAAUAGUAUUUUUGUUCGGUGAAACGUUAGUUAGUACUAAGAACAAAAAGUCAUCAUUGUCAUUGUUUGUCUAGAACAUCAGUACAUAGAAGCUUGUUAAUCUGAAGAUUGUAUGCUGAACUCACCGAUUGCAAGGAAGAGGGAGUCGGACACGGAUGGCUUGUUGAAGGCAUGGAUGCGGGAAGCUGAUGGUGCCGGUCUGCCGGACACCGAUGCCCAAAUCAUAGUAUACGUGGGUCUCGAUUCUUGAACACCUCCGCGCAGUCGAGGAGCCCCGGUGUUCGGCCAAGCGCGGAAGCUCUUGCGUGUGAUGAAAUAGUCGCCCAGCUGCGGGGAAGAUCUAUUAUUCUUGAUGCUACUUUGGUUCUCCGGCCCCACGCAUCCAGCAGGUCGGCUGUUUCAUCAUCUCCUCCCUUCACGUGCUCCCGUGCACUGCGUUUUGAUUUUCGGCCGAAAAAAAUGAAUUUCGGCCGAAUUUCGGCCGUCUCGCUAGGGCCCGAUAUAUGGGCCUAUCGGCCGAAUAAUUUGGCCCAGUUUGAAUUUUUUUUGCCCGGCCCAGCUUCGAGAGCCUUCCAGUUAGGCUUCCGCUGAGACAAAACCACGAACCCACGCUACCUAACCCUAAAUCGCUCUUUCCCUGUCCGUCCUCCUGUGUGCGGCGCCGCCGCUGCGCACAUCUCAGGCGAGUGCUUCCAACCAUCUCCUUGCCCUCCUCCACAUCUCCGGCCAAGGCGCUCACUUCUCCGACCCUCCUCCACAUCUCCUCGCCUCCACCCAUCCACUUCCUGUCCUUUGUUUCUCCAAGACUGCAGUAUGGUGCUCGGCGGCUGCGACAACGGAGCUGAUGGUGCGCCAGCCGACCAGUUGAACGGAGGCAGUAGCAAGGGGCAGCGGCAACAGCCUAGAGGGCGGAGGUUGAUUGGCAAGGUAAUGGAACUGCAAAUAGGAGUGGCAGCGGCAACCAUGAUGCAAGUGCAAGUGGUUCCCAAAUAUCUUGGAAAACUAUUUGGUAUUUGUUCGUAAAUUGGUUGAAGUUUUUUGGUGUGAGUAGACAUAACAGUGCAUUGCGCUGUUCAUGUAGUGAGAUGAGGAUGAUCACAAUUCAGAGUAUUUGGAUCUAUCCGUCAUAUUUCUAUAUGGUUCAAUUAAAGUGAGAGUGAGGAUAAUGAUGGGGUGAGUGAGGACAAGGAAGAUGAUCCAUCAAUGCAAGAUCAGCAAGAGGCACAAAUGCAAGUGGAAAAAGAGACGCAAAUUCAAGUGGAAAUGGACGCACCACCAAACGAUGGCAAUUUGGAGACCCGUAGAUCUGUACGGCUUGUCAAGAAGAAGACCAAGGACGUCAACAGCAUAUACUUGUUGCUUAGAAAUCUGCGGAAAUGCCACAUGGAGAACUAAGGAUAUCAAGAAGCUUUUGGAUGUAUGCAAGCUUGGAGCUGCUGUUUUAUAGAUUUUCCUUCCGUAUGACAAUUGACAAAUGUCUAGUCCAAGCCAACAGCAGGUUGUUUGUGUCUAUGUUGCUUUCUUUGUAUCCUUACGAGUUUUGUUGUGCCGGAGUACAAACUAUAAAUUAGAAUUCAUCAUUCUAGUAUAUGGAGGCAUUUAACCUUUGCUCCUGAAGCUUUUUUGUGAAUAAAAAACUAUAUUGCUGCAGUAGAUUUGUUAUUUGAUUCAUGAGCAUGCAUGACAUUUGACUAUUGUUCUACUAGCUACUUACUUGUCCUGUUAAUCCAUUAUAUUUUUUGUUGCACAAAGUGGUAGAAGAUAAUUCCGAUGCAGAACUACCUCCAUCCUGACCCUUGCUUUGUUUUCUCUAAACCAGAAAUGACAUGUGUAGAAAUAGAAUAACCAAGGAUAUAAAGAAGCUUUUGGAUAUAGGCAAGCUUGGAGCUGCUGUUUCAAUGUCAUGCUUUAAUGGUUGUCUUUUGGAGCUGUUGUUUCUAUCUGUAAUCCUUUUAAGUCUGUUGGCUGUACCGGACUAUUUAAAGUCUGAACUACGCUGUGAUGGUUGAACUGAUGCUGGACUGUUAAGGGUUAUGUUGGAGGCAACUUUAUAACUAAUGUGUGCCUGUUAUGUUGGACAGAUGCAGUUUUAUUAAUCCCUAGAGCUUAUUUGCUGAAGUUUAUAUGAUCAA